rnacentral:rRNA from 1 species
AACGAACGCUGGCGGCAUGCUUAACACAUGCAAGUCGAACGGGACGUUCGGGUCUCGGGGGGCAGGUGUGCGUGCCGCGGGGUGACCUACCCUUAGGUUCGGUAUCACUGCCCGAGAGGGAUUCUAAUACAAUGUGGUCUCUUCGGGCCAAAGAUUUCUGGCAUUUGGCUGGGCGCGCGUUGGUUUCGCUAGUUGGUAGGGUAAACGCAUCACAAGGCCACGAUACAUAGCUGGUGUGAGAGGAUGAUCAGCCACACUGGCAGUGAGACACGGCCCACACUGCUACGGGAGGGAGGAGUGGGGAAUAUUGGGCAAUGGGCGCAAGUCUGAUCCAGCCAUGCCGCGGGAGUGAUGAAGGCCUUAGGGUUGUAAAGCUCUUUGACCCGAGGCGAUAAUGACGGUAACGGGAGAAGAAGCACCGGCUAACUACGUG